UGGGGGAUAUUGCACAAUGGGCGAAAGCCUGAUGCAGCGACGCCGCGUGGGGGAUGAAGGCUUUCGGGUUGUAAACCUCUUUCGCUAUCGAACAAGGCCCGCUUAGGGUGGGUUGAGGGUAGGUGGAGAAGAAGCGCCGGCUAACUACGUGCCAGCAGCCGCGGUAAUACGUAGGGCGCGAGCGUUGUCCGGAAUUAUUGGGCGUAAAGGGCUUGUAGGCGGCUUGUUGCGCCUGCUGUGAAAACGCGGGGCUUAACUUCGCGCGUGCAGUGGGUACGGGCAGGCUUGAGUGGGGUAGGGGUGACUGGAAUUCCAGGUGUAGCGGAGGAAUGCGCAGAUAUCUGGAGGAACACCGAUGGCGAAGGCAGGUCACUGGGCCAUUACUGACGCUGAGGAGCGAAAGCAUGGGUAGCGAACAGG
rnacentral:rRNA from 1 species